rnacentral:lncRNA from 1 species
AAAAAGAAGCAUUCAAUACUUAUAAUUACAUUUUUUAGCAAUGAUCAUGAAAACACGAAUUUUAUUAUUGUUUUAUUUAAUUCACCUGUUAAUCCCUUUAUUAUGGGACCACGUGUUAUCAUGAAUGAAAAGUUUUAUUGAGCAAUGCAAUUGCUUACGGAAUAACACGUGAUGUGCAGUUAGCCAAUCAGAAUAGAGUAUCAUAAUGAAA